rnacentral:rRNA from 1 species
AUGAGAAAAUCUACAGUCAUUGCUAAAACAGAUUGUAAAGUCAUGAUGGUCAUAUCAGAAAAAGGAGGCUUAUGGGAGAUUACAAGACAACAGCUAGAACACAACCAUGAAUUAACACCAAAUAGUAGAUUCUUUAGGUCUCAUAAGUACAUGUCAGAUGAAGAUAAGUGCUUGAUAAGGGUUUUGAAGCACACAAACCUAGAAACAAGAAGGAUUGUUGCUGUCCUAGCUUACUUGCAAGGAGGAAUGGCUCAUCUUCCCUACACAAAAAAGCAUGUGACUAACUAUGCAGCGACAGGAAACAGAGAUAUCGCAAACUCUGACAUGAUGGAAGCAGUGCAAAUGUUCAACAAGAAGCAAACAGAAAAUCCUGGAUUUUGCUACUCGUUUGAGCUUGAUGGAGAAAAUAAAGUGAGAAGCUUAUUCUGGACAGAUGUGCGGUCAAGAAUGAUGUAUGACAUUUGUGGUGACUGCAUCAGUUUUGACACUACAUUCCUAACAAACAGAUACAACCUACCAUUUGCACCCUUUGUGGGGAUAUCCCCACAUGGCAACACAUACUUGUUUGCUUGUGCAUUCAUCGUCAAUAAGACAAAAGAAACAUUUGCUUGGUUGUUUGAACAAUUCCUGAUGGCUAUGGGAGGAAAGCAUCCUAUAUCAAUCAUUACAGACUAGGACAAGGCAAUGCAAGUAGCAAUUGAAAAAGUCUUUCCUAAUGCUACCCAUAGGAGCUGCCUCUUCCACAUAAAGAAGAAGGUAGAGGAGAAAGUCGGGCCCUGCUUCCAAGCUAAUGAGGGACUCUAUGAAGAUUUCCAGGACAUUGUGGACAAUUCCUUGACGGUUGAAGAAUUUGAAACACAAUGGCAAGAAAUGAUAGAAAAAUACCAAGUUCACCACAUCAAGUACUUCAAUGACAUGUGGGAAAACAGGAAAAAGUUCAUCCCAGUGUAUUUCAAAGGACAAAUUCUUCCCAUUCAUACAAACUAUAGCAAGAAGUGA